GUGGGAAGGGCUUUGAACAAUAGGGAAAUUGAGGGGUAAACUAAAGAUGAUGCAAAUAUAUUUAAUUGCUAUGUUUAGAAUUAUUUCUAAAUACAGUAAGCUGUAUUUAGAAAUUUUUUCUAACUACACUUUACAUCUAACACUUUUACUGAACGUUUGAAAACUACAUAAAUAUACGAAAAGGAAAAUUACGAUUUUUUUAGUACCAACUAUUAUAAUAAACAGCGCUUUAACACUACAGCAAUAAUACAACAACUUACCAGUAAUGUUUACCGUCUAAUAUAUAUUCACUUCGGCUCUUCCAUUUUCCACCUUAUCGCACACACAAUCGGAUAUAUCGUUUUUUCGGAUCUCCGUCCUUGUCAGCGAUCGCGAGUGGCUUUCUUUACAUUUUCAAUACUGUGCUCAACACUUUCUGGUUCUCGAAACCGCUUUUUCUUAUAUUAUAAGAAGAUGCCAUGCUCUUUUGCCAACAAAAUUAAUCUAUUCAUGACGAAAGCGAACUGAAUGCUUCGUUACACUUCAUGCAAACUUUCAAGAAUGCAAUCGUUAAUGUCCCACGCUCACUUUUUUGAGUAUCUAAUAAUUUCAUGCCUCAUUGCUUUGAAUAUCUAAUGAUGUGUGAGAAGGGAAGUUUAAUACCUCGUUUCUAUUUUCCACUGUUCUUACGCACUUUCGAGGAACUUUUGAAAAAGGCAAAUUCAGGAUCCAAGGAACUCUUUUUCCAGGUUUGAGCAGUUCUUGCUUGAAGUUAGGAAUUUUCACGGCUAAAUUUUGUACGCGUGGCGUCCGUAUUCAUCAAAACGUGGUACAACGGCGCAGAGUAAGUACAUACCGAGGUAUCACUUCAUGUUAAUUUAGCGUAAGGGAUUUUUUCAGUUCGCCAUGUUCUUAGCAAGUGCCCUGAAGAGAGGCCGCCACUAGCCUGGAAACAUAUUGGAAUUUAAUGUUCCAGGGGGUUGAAUGCCUCUCUUUAGAGCACUUGCUAAGAACAUGGCCGCCAGAUAAGCGCAGUAAAAACUACCUUACGGUUUUCCCGCAGAAGUGAGACAUCUGGAUGUACUUACUCUGUGACAACGGUUUCGGUCCCCUAUACGUUAUUCACUGUGGUCCACAUACGUCAUCAAUUUCAAACUAACGUAUAAUUUUGCCUUUCUGUUUUUUAAUUUAAACAUUUAUAUUUGCGACAUUUUGUUUCCUCAAAACUCUUUACAUAACGAAGGUAGUAACGUAAAUAAAUUAAUAAAAUUUUAUCGGUUUAUUUGGUGAAACAGUAAAGUUUGUACUACUAUAGGGAGAGAAUGAAAAGACGUAAAUAGAUAUUAUUUUAAAAUUUCACCGAUUGUGUAAACCAUUCCCGAUUUUCGUCUUAAGGUAACAAAUUGUUGGUCACAUCGUUGUAAUAAUACCGAGUUUGGAGUUCUGAC